rnacentral:piRNA from 1 species
UGUGUUUCUGGGAUUGGACCUUUA